rnacentral:rRNA from 1 species
UCCGUAGGGGGCGAGCGUUGUCCGGAUUUAUUGGGCGUAAAGAGCGUGUAGGCGGCCAGGUAGGUCUGCUGUGAAAACUCGAGGCUCAACCUCGAGACGUCGGCGGAAACCAUCUGGCUAGAGUCCGGAAGAGGAGAGUGGAAUUCCUGGUGUAGCGGUGAAAUGCGCAGAUAUCAGGAAGAACACCCGUGGCUAAGGCGGCUCUCUAGUACGGUACUGACGCUGAGACGCGAAAGCGUGGGGAGCGAACAGG